AGUGAACGCUGGCGGCGUGCUUAACACAUGCAAGUCGAACGAGAACGGAUUAUAGCUUGCUAUAAUUGUCAGCUAAGUGGCGCACGGGUGAGUAAUGUAUAGGUAAUAUGCCUCUUACUAAGGGAUAACAAAUGGAAACGUUUGCUAAUACCUUAUACUCCUUAUUAACAGAAGUUAAUAAGGGAAAGAUUUAUUGGUAAGAGAUUAGCCUGUAUUGUAUCAGUUAGUUGGUGGGGUAAUGGCUUACCAAGACUAUGACACAUAACUGGUUUGAGAGGAUGAUCAGUCACACUGGAACUGAGACACGGUCCAGACUCCUACGGGAGGCAGCAGUGGGGAAUAUUGCACAAUGGACGAAAGUCUGAUGCAGCGACGCCGCGUGGAGGAUGACAUAUUUCGGUGCGUAAACUCCUUUUAUAUGAGAAGAUAAUGACGGUAUUAUAUGAAUAAGCACCGGCUAACUCCGUGCCAGCAGCCGCGGUAA
rnacentral:rRNA from 1 species